GAAAAGGGCUCUGUGGUGAGCGGCACACAUAGGGCAGCUUGAUUGCUCUGAGUGCGGAAUCAACAGCAAGAGAUUUCCGACGCAUACUUUUUUGGUACUUGGGCAGCUGGUGAUCAUUGGUCCUGGCGCCCAC